GAUGAACGCUGGCGGCGUGCCUAAUACAUGCAAGUCGAGCGAACGGACGAGAAGCUUGCUUCUCUGAUGUUAGCGGCGGACGGGUGAGUAACACGUGGAUAACCUACCUAUAAGACUGGGAUAACUUCGGGAAACCGGAGCUAAUACCGGAUAAUAUUAUGAACCGCAUGGUUCAAAAGUGAAAGACGGUCUUGCUGUCACUUAUAGAUGGAUCCGCGCUGCAUUAGCUAGUUGGUAAGGUAACGGCUUACCAAGGCAACGAUGCAUAGCCGACCUGAGAGGGUGAUCGGCCACACUGGAACUGAGACACGGUCCAGACUCCUACGGGAGGCAGCAGUAGGGAAUCUUCCGCAAUGGGCGAAAGCCUGACGGAGCAACGCCGCGUGAGUGAUGAAGGUCUUCGGAUCGUAAAACUCUGUUAUUAGGGAAGAACAUAUGUGUAAGUAACUGUGCACAUCUUGACGGUACCUAAUCAGAAAACCACGGCUAACUACGUG
rnacentral:rRNA from 1 species